CCCUUCCUUGUUCUUUUCAGCCUAUAUACCACCGUCGUCAGCUCACCCUGUGAAGGCCCAAUAGUAAGCGUAAUCGGCACAGCCCCAAACGUCAGGUCGAGGUGUAGCCUAUGGAAGGGGAAGAGAUGGGCUACAUUCACUGAUACAGUGAAUACGGAUGAUCACCCUGAAACGGGUAUCUGAAGGAGGAUUUAGCAGUAAGCAAAAAAUAGAGUGUUUUGCUGAAGUUGGCCCUGAAGCGUGCACACACCGCCCGUCACUCUCCCCGAACAUUAGCCCGGAUAUAUAACUAAUACCCCACAAAAACCGAGGGGAGGCAAGUCGUAACAUGGUAAGCGUACCGGAAGGUGCGCUUGGAACAAACC
rnacentral:rRNA from 1 species